rnacentral:lncRNA from 1 species
UGUGUUCUAGGUUCCGCUGCUGGCACGAUUGUUCUGACACGCGCACUACAGUUCCUUCUUUGCGUUUGUUUAAAACUAGGUAGCAUACGCAGGUCUGACCGAAGCGGAUCGUGAACGCUCAGGCGUCCGUCUUCCCCUGCUGCACUUGUAGACUGGAUAUGAGAUUCAGAGAGCCAUUUUCGGUACUUCUCCUUGUACACUACCUUACGAUCACGGAAUGCAAGCUGCCGUCUCUGAAGAAGACUUACAAUAUCAGAAAGUGCAGGGUCCUCAAGAAGAACUUCGCUGUACGAAAUCGCCAGAAACCACACCGAAGAAUUACCAUACGCUUCUGGAACAAUAUUUUACCAGCGGAGCUGUUUAAGACCAAGUUUUUGUGGACGAAAACACCUAUAUGGACAUACGCAACGUCAGGAAAUGGUCAUUGUUUGUGUCAACUAGAUAAAAUGAAACAGGAAGAAGAAAGAAUAAUUGAGUACAAGCAUUACUAUCUGGACAAAAGGUUUCACAGGCACUACAUCGUAAUGGUGGGAAUGUUCGACAAGAAGGAUACAAUAUAUGUUCACCCUUACGGUACUAGAUACAAAAUAAAGGAGGAACUACUAUAUAGUGAUAAAGCAUUUGGGUGCGGUGUUAUAAAGAUCUUAUCAAUGUCGUCAUUUCAAGGUCAUAUGAACCAUUACGAAGUGCGAGUCUGGAACAGCUCCAAUGUACCCAUGGCUGCAAGAGCCUGUCUUCCAGUAUUAGCAAAGCAAAAGAUUCGAGUGCACAUUAUUUACAAAGAGAUGUGCCAGAAUAUGUAUCUACAAGGACAAUCUAAAAAUCAACGGCCUAUUCAAGGACAAAUACCUGGACAGAUUGCUUUCUGUAAUAAUGAGAUAUGAACUAGACAACAUCUACACCUAUGCUAAUAUCCGUCAAAAUUGUAUGCCCCGUAUUGCUUUGCGUAUUGCUUCGUUUCAACUCGUACAAAAGCUGAAGAACGAUUAGCAGGAGCACAGUAUUAUUAAUCAUGUGAGCAAACAUUAUUUCUCUUCAGCACUGACCAAACAAAUAAAAAUGAUCAGUCAAGAUAAUGA